rnacentral:rRNA from 1 species
GACAGAGGAUGCAAGCGUUGUCCGGAAUGAUUGGGCGUAAAGCGUCUGUAGGUGGCUUUUCAAGUCCGCCGUCAAAUCCCAGGGCUCAACCCUGGACAGGCGGUGGAAACUGCCAAGCUGGAGUACGGUAGGGACAGAGGGAAUUUCCGGUGGAGCGGUGAAAUGCGUAGAGAUCGGAAAGAACACCAACGGCGAAAGCACUCUGCUGGGCCGACACUGACACUGAGAGACGAAAGCGUGGGUAGCAAACAGG